CCGCAUAAAGGAACUCCAUGUGCGUGCCGCACGGCACAGGCUCGUAUCGAAGAAAGAGGUUCUUUCUUUCCCUCCGAGCGCCCAGCGGUGCGUGAGCCCAGGUGCAGAGAAAAUCGGCGGCGGCACGGCUAGGCUGCCUGGCUGGCUGGUCUUUUGGGAUCGAGCAGCGCGGCGGCGGCGGCGGCGGCGUUUUAGAAUUUGGGCGUGCGGGGAGGGAACAGGGGCUGGAGCGGCCGGAACCGUGGUCGGUACCGCAAGUGGCGCGCGUACUUCCUGGAGUACUCCUUCAUGCCGUUCCACCGGGAGCCGCAGGUGCAGAGGCAGAGGCAGCGGAGGCAGAGGCCAUACAUGCAGCGGUAAUUGUUGUUGCAGCUGCAGCUGCGGUAGAAGGCGUUCUAGCCGUAGUCGCGGGGGCCGUGGCGGCGGCGGCUGCGCCGGGAGGGGCGGGGGCGGGGGCGGGGGCCGCGGCCGCUGCCCCGGGAGGGCUUGGGGCGGGGGAGGCAGCAGCAGCCGGUCCUCCGCGGCGCCUUGGCCUGGCCCCUCGAGCGCCGCAGGUCGCCGCCGCGCGAGCGCGAGCGGUAGGAGACGUUGUUCCGGGACAAGGGGCAGUCCCAGGGGUAGUGGUAGCGCGAGUGCGGCGGGUAGCGGUCCGAGGAGCGGGCGACCUUCGAGCAGUUCUCGGAGUUCGUCUGGACUCGACACGGAAUAACGUUCACGAGACCCUCUAACGGCGUAGGUCAGGUCCUAAGUUCCAGAUGAAAGGUCCCGUAGGCGUUACCUCGCUGCGGCAUUUAAUGGGGUGAGACGGCAGACCACGGUAACGUGAACAAACUAAAAACAGUCCUGUACCAACGUACGUGAACGUAGUUUCAAAGUAUGCGUCCUUGAGAACAAUAGGGGACUUGAGUCUCCGCCGUUGAGUAAGAGACUUAAAACAUUGAAUAUGUUUUUCUCUUCAAACUCUUGCCUUAUUCGUGAUACUACUAAUUAGGUUCAUCUAAAUGAAUACACCGAAAAGUUCUAACAACUAUAGUGUAAGACAAUGUCUGUAAACCAGACACUACCGUACUAACCUUAAGUACGUGUUGAGAAAUUAAACAAUUUACAGACACUAUACAAUAAAAAAAACGGUGCAUAUCGAGUAAUUAAACAAGCUAUAGACAUCAUACUAGACAACUAAUAAAAAACUACGUAGUAGACUAGACCAACUUUGAGACAUGACUUUUUACAAGUACACUGCAGACUUCGUGACUUGGACUUGUCUGACGUAGUUCUAACCACGCCGAGGUUCGUGGCCAUCUGUCACCGGGAGGCUAGGUGAUCAUAUCCGGCGGAAGCAGAGGACGGGCGCGCGUGCCAGGUUGUUGGUCGUCUCUUGUCGGAGGCAGCUAGGGGGCGCGCGGAGGCAGAGCGACAGCGGCGAAGUUGACGGCCGGCCGUCCGUCGCGACGGAGGCUGGUCGAGCGGGCCGCCUUUGUACUAGCAGACGCAGCGGCAGCAGCCGGUGGUCUUGUUGGGCGACAUGGACGUCUCGAAGUGCCUCCGCCUGCUGCGGGAGUUCGAGGUGGUGCAGCAGGUGACGAGGGAGCUGCAGUAGCUGCUCGCUCACUUGUUAGGAUUUUUCUCACGUGGAUGUGACUUGCUUUGUAAAAACCCAGAAGAUAUAGGCUGACUCUUGAUGUUUCACAUACCGAUAAACUGUUUGUGUUUCCAGUUUAAAAAUUACCAAUGAUGACUAGAACUACACUUUCUACGUCUACGGGCUUUAAAAAAGUCCUUCAAGGUACGACGUAUGCACCUGCGGCAGAGCUUGGGGAAGGUGCAGGGUCCCUUCUUCUAGCGGAGCUCUUCGAAGCCACGCUCUCACUCGUGGUAUCACUUUAGGAAACCGAGUCCCUGACAGCCAAUUUUUGGUGUAGGCGGACUCGUGGGAGGCGUUAGUUAACAGGACACGAAAUGUGGAAUUGGCCGUUGGAUAGAAAUGGAGGUAACACAUAGUGUUUUACAUACAACCUGUUCUUUAUCAAACUGUGAGUUCCCUCUCAUAUACCGACAAUAACUAAUGAUUCGUAAUACGGAACAAAGAGAAGGAAGUUAAAUCACGUCG
rnacentral:rRNA from 1 species